rfam:Proteus penneri ATCC 35198 genomic scaffold Scfld0, whole genome shotgun sequence.
GGGGCUGAUUCUGGAUUCGACGGGAUUUGCGAAACCCAAGGUGCAUGCCGAGGGGCGGUUGGCCUCGUAAAAAGCCGCAAAAAAAUAGUCGCAAACGACGAAAACAAACUAGCACUAGCAGCUUAAUAACCUGCUCAGAGCCCUCUCUCCCUAGCUUCCGCUCUUAAGACGGGGAAUCAAGAGAGGUCAAACCCAAAAGAGAUCGCGUGGAUGCCUAGCUUGGGGUUGAAGCGUUAAAUUUAAUCAAGCUAGCUUAUUCAUGGCGUGUCUGUCCGCAGUGGGUAAGUGAAAUCAAAGACUAGACUAAGCAUGUAGUGCCGCGGAUGUAGAAAUUUCGGACGCGGGUUCAACUCCCGCCAGCUCCACCA